rnacentral:rRNA from 1 species
AAAAGUUUUAUGUAGUUCGUACAAAAAGAAGUGAUCAUCACUAAGGACAACCUGGCAAAAUGUAAUUGGGUGGGUAGUAAACAUUCUUGUUACUGUGAUCAAGAUGAAUCAAUCCAACAUCUAUUUCUAGAUUGCCCACCUGCCAAGCUACUGUGGCGCAUCGUGCAUGUGGCUUUUGACCUCAGUCCAAUAAAUACAUGGGGGCUUGGCUAA